UUGCAACUGAUAAGAUGAUCAGACUCCUUUUCUUGAGGGAGCUCAGGGUGUGAGGGCUCAAGCAACAACAUUCUUGGCAGUGUAUGCAGCCUGUUGCAUAUAUGGGUUACCCUAAAGGACCUUGAAGACAGGU
ensembl:snoRNA SNORA70 Small nucleolar RNA SNORA70